AUUGAACGCUGGCGGCAUGCUUUACACAUGCAAGCCGAACGGUAACAGGCCGCAAGGUGCUGACGAGUGGCGUACGGGUGAGUAAUGCAUCGGAACGUGCCCAGUCGUGGGGGAUAACGCAGCGAAGGCUGUGCUAAUACCGCAUACGAUCUAUGGAUGAAAGCGGGGGACCGUAAGGCCUCGCGCGAUUGGAGCGGCCGAUGUCAGAUUAGGUAGUUGGUGGGGUAAAGGCCUACCAAGCCGACGAUCUGUAGCUGGUCUGAGAGGACGACCAGCCACACUGGGACUGAGACACGGCCCAGACUCCUACGGGAGGCAGCAGUGGGGAAUUUUGGACAAUGGGCGCAAGCCUGAUCCAGCAAUGCCGCGUGCAGGAAGAAGGCCUUCGGGUUGUAAACUGCUUUUGUACGGAACGAAAAGCCCUGGGUUAAUACCCUGGGGUCAUGACGGUACCGUAAGAAUAAGCACCGGCUAACUACGUGCCAGCAGCAGCCGCGGUAA
rnacentral:rRNA from 1 species